GACAGAGGGUGCAAACGUUGCUCGGAAUUACUGGGCGUAAAGCGCGUGUAGGUGGCCACGCAAGUCAGGUGUGAAAUUUCGGAGCUUAACUCCGAAACUGCAUUCGAUACUGCGGUGCUUGAGGACUGGAGAGGAGACUGGAAUUCAUGGUGUAGCAGUGAAAUGCGUAGAGAUCAUGAGGAAGACCAGUGGCGAAGGCGGGUCUCUGGACAGUUCCUGACACUGAGGCACGAAGGCCAGGGGAGCAAACGGG
rnacentral:rRNA from 1 species